AUGCUUUACCGGAGAGGCAGCGCCAGCUUAUCAGGACAAAUCGUGCUGGAAGAGCAGGUCGCGGUUUUCCAGUGCUAUGCUGACACAUGCUCGCUAGCCUAUCCCAGACGAGCCAGGCAAGGGCGCAGACGAAGCAGAGGGAGGUGUAAGAGAUGUGUGCGAGCUACGCGAGGAGCUACGCACGGCAGGGUACAUAUCAGAUGCCCGCCUUGUGCUGCACGACAUGUACCCAGCAAACGCCUCGCCAUCACGUUCGGGCUGGUGAGCAUGCCACACGGCCAUCUUUUUUGGUAUUUUCUUCUCUCCGUCCAUCUGUCUGCUUAA
rnacentral:rRNA from 1 species